rnacentral:lncRNA from 1 species
AAUUAUUCAUCUCCCAUGACCUCUUAAAAUUCAAGACUCAGGCACAAACAUCCUCAUCUUAGCAGGACAAGCUAAUUCAUUCGCAUGCAGAGCAACAAUAACAAUACUCCAAACAUACCAAGGGACGUCACACUGAAAAAACAAUGCAACCAACGGGUUCUCUCCAGUGGCAAAAUUGACUAUUUUUGAACUUGCACGACAUCUAAACAAGAACUACAUGAUACACAAUUUUCCAUCAUGCACCUCCUAUCCUGAGCAUAAAUGAAAUGAGAGAAGGGUAUCCUGAACAUCUAAACAAGAACUUGCAAUUUUUUCCAUCAUAUGCACCCAGAGAUUCUGCCUUCUCCCCUGGCCCUGAAACAAGAGCACCAUCAGUUUAGUUUUAAACAAAUUGAAAGUUCGAACAUGAGGCAUGUAGUUUUUCAAAUGAUGAAAGUCACAGAACUGAGCUAUUUUUGUUUUACUUCAAAUAAUUCAACAUGAAAAAGACAAAUACAGAUAAAUAUUUUUUUGUGCGAAAUUCUGAAGCAGAUGUCAGUUCGACCUUUUUAAAUACUUUUUUGCACAAGGAGAUGAUGUUAUUGAACUGGCUAGGUACAUUCAGCUUUACCUAGUAUGUUAUUGCCCUGGAACUGCAAUUUGUAUCUUUUACUGCUCAUCUUUAACAUUAAGAAAGUACUAAUCAGUACUAGUAUUUGUGUAAGUCAUACUGAUCAGUACUGCUGCUUGUCGUACUGAUGAGCACUAAAUUUUUCAUCUAGUGGACUGCUCUUGGUUUUCAAGUUGGACUUGAGUACUUUUAAAUGGACUUUUUACAGAGCUCUGAUCAAAAUCUAGAUUCCAAGAAAAAAUGGCCUUCAUGGAUGGCAGUAUGUGAACUGAAGAGUAGGAGAGGAGGAGCACGAAGGUGUUUCUCACCAAUCAUGUUCCUGAUGGCGUGGUGGAUGGAGGCAUGAACUGAUGCUGGUCAUUUUGUUGAACCUCCACCAAAGAACCCCUAUUAAGUCGUAUAGAAGAGAAACCAGAGAUAAGGUUAGUGACAUGGAGCUGGUGCAGUACGGCGACCUCGCCGUAGAUGCAACACCCCAACACACGAGCACCUCACAUAUGUAAGGGAACGGUGCUGGACGUCGUGGUGGUUCUGGACCAGCUCGAGGGCAUGCCUGGCACCAUUGAGGCAGGCCGUGGGGGCUGGCUGGGGGAGGUCAUGGUGGUGGUGACACACGCCAGAGUGAGGAACGGUGACCCACACAAGAAUUUGUAGCAGCUGAGGUGGCAUACGUGCACGGGAGGAGGAAAGCAACCACGUGUGGGGGCGGCGAGCAGUUGUGAUGGUGCGCUUUCCCUCUUGGUUAUUUAUCAAUUACAUAGCUCCAAAAGAAAGGUAACUGAUACAACUACUAGCAAUGUGCUAAAAGAACAUUAGUAUCUAUUAGUUGGGAAUCAUGUGUAUUUGCCUCUCUGUAUUCGAAAUUGCUUCAAUUGAUGGCUCAUUGGAUAACAUGCAUGGUCCUUAUAAUUAUGAAGUUAGCAGCAGUUCUACAUUAGAAUUCCGAGAGAAAUUUCUACAAAAUUCAUUAACCAAAGUGACAGUAUGGUGCUCAUUCUCAAGCACAAUGACAAGUACUUGUUUGUGCUAUAUGAAGGAGAUGGAAACACAAAGGAAAUCAGACUCACCAUUGGGAAGUAGAUGAACUGAAAAGCAUAGAAAAUAUGAACUUGUGCAUCUUGUUUUAACUUCAUCCUACGAAAAAGGAACAAAUAUGGGACAUGAGUUUUUGUCAAGAUGAACUUACCAGGGUUUGGUGUUCGAAUUUUUAAAUGUUUGUGCUACCGGAAAUAGAGAAUAGCAGCAUGCCUCGACCAGAUCGGCGACUUCCUCACGGGCGGCCUCUCGUACACCGCGAGGGCAACACAUACACACACGAACUGACCAGAAUACACAACACGACCGGGUAGAUAAACAAAUUGAUAAGAAUACAUGUCUUCUCGAUUAUGAACUGAUAAGAAUACACAACAUGGACAACUAGCCAUGAACUUCUUGAACUCCCCUGUAGGUUUUUAAUGGUUUUUUGGUGUUCACGUUCUUUACGAAGUCCCUGACUUCUCGACUAUGAACUUACUACAUAGAAGGAUCCUCACAUACAUGUAUAACUUGACAGGAGCUGACAGAAAAUGUUGCAGCAAAAUGGCAUUUUUAUUGAACAUAAUAAUACAACCAUAUCUUGUAAUACAUCCAUCAUGAUGGAAUUAAAUGCACAGUGAAAUGGCAGCAUUACACAUACUCGAGAACUAACAGAUUAUUCUUCAGUUACUCUGAUCAACUUCAGUUUUCUUCAGAAAUUGGAUGAGAAAUAGCAUCGGCUAUGCUAUCAAUUUUUUGCAUCUCUAGCACACUUGUUGGGAGUAUUGUUCAUCACAUGAUGAACCUCUUUUUUUCUGUUUUUCUUGACUGUCAUAGAAUAAAAUAUUGAACUAUCUUGUAUAAGUAUAGUUUUCAUUUUUUUAAAUAAUUGUUCAAUGAACCUCCCCGCCACGUGAGUUUGAACUUAUGAAUUUAUUAGAAAUGAACUUGUGUGAGACUUUUUCUUUGCAUAGUGUACUACCAUUUUUUUGUUUAGUUUGUCAUACAUAGUGAACUGUCAUAUAAUUUUGG